rnacentral:lncRNA from 1 species
GGGAAAAGACGGUAGGAUAUGUACAUCUCUGCACGUAACUGAGUAAAUCAGAAAGUGGUGGGAGCAAUGGUUAUUCGUUGAGGGCACCUAUUUUGCCAUCAGUCCCAGUUGUGGGUUCCUGGACUCUGAAUGAGGUGACUCCUGUUCCUGUCCUGCCUCUGAUCCCAUCUGGGAUAUUCCCCAAAUCUCCUCCUACCUCAGUUUCCCUCUGUUGUCAGACAGAUAAAUAUUGUUUCCUCCCUUUGUAAAGCUCCCCAUGAAAUGCUGCUAAGACAGAGCAAGGUGUGGUGUUUUUAUGGCUGCUCUUUGCCUUGGGUUUGCAGAGGAAGCCUGCUCUCACCCCAAGGCACGGUGACCUGCCAGCACCAGCAGGAGGGAGCAGCCCCAGGACUCCCUGCAGAGGUAGCACUUUGAAGCAAAGGGUGUUGCAAGUGCAUAAAUCCCUUCCUACUAUGUGCUUCCUUGCCCUGGUGGCAUUUAUGGCUUGUUGCUGUGUUUUAGGAGCAUUAGGGAAAAUACAGAUAGUCUGGCAUUUUAUUACUCAUAUUUCUCUGCUCUUAAUGACUGAAUGGAGCACGACUUGCUAAUGAACUAGGCUGAAAUGAAUGCAUUUGUGGCACUAAUUGAAAUAAACCCAAGGUCUGGCUUUUCAAAAGGAGUAAAACCUCUAGCACUCUCAAAAAAAGAAAAGAAAAGAAAAGAAAAGAAAAGAAAAGAAAAGAAAAGAAAAGCCUCUUUUACUGUCUUUAACCCCUGCUUGUUGUCUUUCAGUACAGCUGCAUUUGGAUGCAACAGAGCAAGGCAGAUUCUGCUUGCGGGAACUAGGGAUUCAUGGUGCAGGAUGCUGGGGACUGGGCUUGGUGUUGCUCCCUUCCUCAUCUAUAAAAGCAGCUCAUUAGGGGCAGUAGGGUUCUCAGGUAGCAGAGGGUUAUGUGGAGAUGGCCUGGGAGCACAUGGAUGGAGGCACUCCCUGGUUUGGUGUUUCCUUUCUGAAGAUUGGCAUCCAUCACAACAGGAGGGUCAAACAGCAUCCUACAGGCUGCCUUAGCCAAGCAUCCCAAAAAGUGGGACUCUUACCAUACAUCCCUGAGUGUCUCCAGAGCUCUCAUAGUUCCCACCUUAUGAAGGACAUAGGACACUGAGCCCCACCUCCUUCAGUUCAGCAUUCCUCAGGGAAGGGGAUAUUUGUGCCAGGAACAUGCCGGCAUGAAGUCGGAUUUGCCAAGAGAUUUCCAAGUUGCCAAGAAAUUUCAAGAAAUUUAAAUUUCAAGAAAUUGAAAUUGAAAAAAUUCCAAGAAUUCUUUUCUCAGCUCUUUCCUGGAGAGAUUUCAGUCUGGCUUGCCUAAUAUCUAUUGUCCCUGGGCCAUAAAGGUCUCCAUCCAAAGCACAGCUGGAAUUUUAUGAGGAAAUGUGCAAGUCCCAGUAACACUACCAGACUGGUAUAACUGGAGCAGAUUCACCUGACCUCCUCAGCAUAGCAAG